rnacentral:tRNA from 1 species
GGGUCGUUAGCUCAGUCGGCAGAGCACCUGACUUUUAAUCAGGGAGUCACUGGUUCAAGUCCAGUACGACCCA